rnacentral:rRNA from 1 species
GACGAACGCUGGCGGCGUGCUUAACACAUGCAAGUCGAACGAAGAGCGAUGGAAGCUUGCCUCUAUCAAUCUUAGUGGCGAACGGGUGAGUAACGCGUAAUCAACCUGCCCUUCAGAGGGGGACAACAGUUGGAAACGACUGCUAAUACCGCAUACGAUCUAACCUCGGCAUCGAGGAUGGAUGAAAGGUGGCCUCUAUUUAUAAGCUAUCACUGAAGGAGGGGAUUGCGUCUGAUUAGCUAGUUGGAGGGGUAACGGCCCACCAAGGCGAUGAUCAGUAGCCGGUCUGAGAGGAUGAACGGCCACAUUGGGACUGAGACACGGCCCAGACUCCUACGGGAGGCAGCAGUGGGGAAUCUUCCGCAAUGGACGAAAGUCUGACGGAGCAACGCCGCGUGAGUGAUGACGGCCUUCGGGUUGUAAAGCUCUGUUAAUCGGGACGAAAGGCCUUCUUGCGAAUAGUUAGAAGGAUUGACGGUACCGGAAUAGAAAGCCACGGCUAACUACGUG